rnacentral:rRNA from 1 species
AACGAACGCUGGCGGCGUGCUUAACACAUGCAAGUCGAACGGUGAAAGGGAGCUUGCUCCCUGGAUCAGUGGCGAACGGGUGAGUAACACGUGGGCAACCUGCCCCAGACUUCGGGAUAACGCUUCGAAAGGAGUGCUAAUACCGGAUACGAACUCCUUGGGCAUCCUUGGGGUUGGAAAGUUUUUCGGUCUGGGAUGGGCCCGCGGCCUAUCAGCUUGUGGGUGAGGUAACGGCUCACCAAGGCGACGACGGGUAGCCGGCCUGAGAGGGCGACCGGCCACACUGGGACGGAGACACGGCCCAGACUCCUACGGGAGGCAGCAGUGGGGAAUAGUGCGCAAUGGGCGAAAGCCUGACGCAGCAACGCCGCGUGAGGGAUGGCGGCCUUCGGGUUGUAAACCUCUUUCAGCAGGGAAGAAGCGAAGGUGACGGUACCUGCAGAAGAAGCACCGGCUAACUACGUGCCAGCCGCCGCCGUAAUAC